GUGCCAGCCGCCGCGGUAAUACGGGGGGAGCAAGCGUUGUUCGGAUUUACUGGGCGUAAAGGGCGCGUAGGCGGUCAGCACAAGUCAGUUGUGAAAUCUCCGGGCUUAACUCGGAAAGGUCAACUGAUACUGUGCGACUAGAGUGCGGAAGGGGCAACUGGAAUUCUCGGUGUAGCGGUGAAAUGCGUAGAUAUCGAGAGGAACACCUGCGGCGAAGGCGGGUUGCUGGGCCGACACUGACGCUGAUGCGCGAAAGCCAGGGGAGCGAACGGGAUUAGAAACCCCCGUAGUCC
rnacentral:rRNA from 1 species